rnacentral:tRNA from 1 species
GGAGAGAUGCCGGAGUGGCCGAACGGGCUCGCCUGCUAAGCGAGUGUACUUGGCAACAGGUACCGAGGGUUCGAAUCCCUCUCUCUCCGCCA